rnacentral:ncRNA from 1 species
AACUUUACCUUGGGAAACAUGCAAGUCGAACGGGAAGUGGUGUUUCCAGUGGCGAACGGGUGAGUAACGCGUAAGAACCUACCCUUGGGAGGGAAAAAACAACUGGAAACAGUUGCUAAUAUCCCGUAGGCUGAGGAGCAAAAGGAGAAAUCCGCCCAAGGAGGGGCUCGCGUCUGAUUAGCUAGUUGGUGAGGCAAUAGCUUACCAAGGCGAUGAUCAGUAGCUAGUCCGAGAGGAUGAUCAGCCACACUGGGACUGAGACACGGCCCAGACUCCUACGGGAGGCAGCAGUGGGGAAUUUUCCGCAAUGGGCGAAAGCCUGACGGAGCAAUGCCGCGUGGAGGUGGAAGGCCCACGGGUCGUCAACUUCUUACCCGUCCAUCAAUACAACUUUUCUAUUAAUUAGAGAUAUUUUGGUCAUUUGACUUUCUCCUUAAUUUUACCUUGGGAAACUAGGUU